CUUUCCUCUGCAUGGAGCUGUGCAAAUGUCUUUUAACUGAUCCAGCAACACUGAAGGAACGGUGAAGUGUUUCCAAGCCAGAAAGUUAAUUUGGUGGGAAUUGUCAUCCUGAAUCGAGGCAAUUGCGGGUUGUCGAAAUGCAUCACUCGCUAUUUAUUGGCAAUGUCUACAGCAGAUCUACUUCUCGUCAUUAUUAAUGUCUUACUGCAUCGAAUUAACAAUCUUUAUUUCCCAAUUACUUUCUUAUCCAUCACUCCUGUGUGUGCCUUGAGAGUUGUUAUGUUCCUUGCAGCCCUGGACUGUUCAGUUUGGUUCACAGUUGCUUUCACAUUUGAUCGGUGUGUAGCAAUUUGUUGCCAGAAGCUAAGAGUGAGAUAUUGCAAUGCGAAAACGGCAUUUGUGGUGAUAGUAACUGUGAGUGUGAUCAGCUGUUUGCAGUCAAUUACAUCAUAUUUUGCAUUUAUUCCUUCAUUUGUUAUUGACAAUGUACCAUGGUUUUGCGUCACAAAACCAGACUAUUAUACUUCAAUAUUCUGGAAUGUGUAUGAAUGGAUUGACAGUAUAAUUACACCGUUGCUUCCAAUUGUAUUGAUUUCAGUAUUCAAUGCUUUGACAGUCAGAAAUAUUAUAAAAGCUAAUUACAUCCGCUGUCGCCUCCAGGUAAAUGGAAAUGGACAGAAUAGCACUGAUCCAGAGGUGGUAAACCGGAGAAAAUCCAUAAUCUUGCUCUUUGCCUUGUCUGCUAAUUUUAUACUGUUGUGGAUUACAUAUGUCGUACACUCUUUCAACUGGCAAGUAAUAAAUUAUAACUAUGAAGACAAGACUUUCAAUAAUAUAAUAUUUGAUCUUCAAGAAAUUGGAUUCAUGCUACGGCUUCUGAGUUCGUGCACCAACACAUGUAUAUAUGCUCUAACACAAACUAAAUUCAGAGAAUAGUUAAUCACUGGAGUAAAAUAUCCAUAUACUCGAAUUGUUAAACUGUGCAAAUAAGCAUACGUGUCUGGCCUGUAUUUUAAGGUGUAUUUCCAGUCUUACAACAGGAUCUCCAAAUUGAAAGACCUUGUGGAAUUUACCUGGCAGUAUUAACUGAAAAGAUGUCAAUGUCCUCAGAAUUGGAAGGAAAACACUUCGUCACGAAAACUGGAAAUAAUACCUUGUGUGAAACAUUAACGAAUUGUAUUUCGAAUAAUGUUUUACUGAUACUGAGUAAAACUUAUUGCUGUUCAAAGGGCUCAAUAUUUGCUUUUGUGAUUCACAUGAAAUUAUUUUCCAAUUUCUAAUGUAUUUAACACAUUGCUUUGUGUCAUUAAUAAGUUUAUAUUCUUGCGCUGAAAGGUCAGUGGCAACUUCUUGUGAACAUGUUCAGUGACUGAAUACGACGGCAAUGAAAUGCAAAGAUUAAACAUAAAAUCUUCCAAACUGC